rnacentral:tRNA from 1 species
GGGGGAUUAGCUCAAAUGGUAGAGCGCCCGCUUAGCAUGCGGGAGGUACCGGGAUCGAUAAUCGGAUUCUCCA